rnacentral:rRNA from 1 species
UACGUAGGGUGCAAGCGUUAAUCGGAAUUACUGGGCGUAAAGCGUGCGCAGGCGGUUCGCUAAGACAGAUGUGAAAUCCCCGGGCUUAACCUGGGAACUGCAUUUGUGACUGGCGGGCUAGAGUAUGGCAGAGGGGGGGUAGAAUUCCACGUGUAGCAGUGAAAUGCGUAGAGAUGUGGAGGAAUACCGAUGGCGGAAGGCAGCCCCC